AUUCUUAUGGUACCGUCAGCCCCGACGCAUCGGGGGAGUUCUUCCCAUAUAAAAGUAGUUUACAACCCAUAGGGCCGUCAUCCUACACGCGGGAUGGCUGGAUCAGGGUUGCCCCCAUUGUCCAAUAUUCCUU
rnacentral:rRNA from 1 species